ACAUGCAAGUCGAGCGAGAACCAGGACUUCGGUCCUGGGGACUGCGGCGAACGGGUGAGUAACACGUGGGUAAUCUGCCCUCGAUUCUGGGAUAGCCCGGGGAAACUCGGAUUAAUACCGGAUAGCCUUUCGAGCCUUCGGGCGCGAAAGAAAAGGUAGCUUCGGCCUCCGAUCGAGGAUGAGCCCGCGGUGGAUUAGCUUGUUGGCGGGGUAAUGGCCCACCAAGGCGACGAUCCAUAGCUGGUCUGAGAGGACGAUCAGCCACACUGGGACUGAGACACGGCCCAGACUCCUACGGGAGGCAGCAGUGGGGAAUCUUGCGCAAUGGGCGAAAGCCUGACGCAGCGACGCCGCGUGGGGGAAGAAGGCCUUAGGGUUGUAAACCUCUUUCAGGUGGGACGAAGCCACUCGGGUGAAUAGCCCAGAGGGUGACGGUACCGCCAGAAGAAGCCCCGGCUAACUACGUGCCAGCAGCCGCGGUAAUACGUAGGGGGCAAGCGUUGUCCGGAUUUAUUGGGCGUAAAGAGCGUGUAGGCGGCCAGGUAGGUGGGUUGUGAAAACUGGAGGCUCAACCUUCAGACGUCGACCCAAACCCCCUGGCUAGAGUCCGGAAGAGGAGAGUGGAAUUCCUGGUGUAGCGGUGAAAUGCGCAGAUAUCAGGAAGAACACCCGUGGCGAAGGCGGCUCUCUGGGACGGUACUGACGCUGAGACGCGAAAGCGUGGGGAGCGAACAGGAUUAGAUACCCUGGUAG
rnacentral:rRNA from 1 species